UGGGGAAUAUUGGACAAUGGGGGAAACCCUGAUCCAGCAAUGCCACGUGUGCGAAGAAGGCCUUAGGGUUGUAAAGCACUUUAGUAGGGGAGCAAGGUCAUGACAUUAAUACCGUCAUGAUUUGAGAGUACCCUAAGAAUAAGCACCGGCAAACUCUGUGCCAGCAGCCGCGGUAAUACAGAGGGUGCAAGCGUUAAUCGGAAUUACUGGGCGUAAAGGGCUUGUAGGCGGUUAAUUAAGUUAGAUGUGAAAUACCUGGGCUUAACCUGGGAAUGGCAUUUAAUACUGGUUAGCUAGAGUAUGGUAGAGGAAAGGGGAAUUUCCGGUGUAGCAGUGAAAUGCGUAGAUAUCGGAAGGAACAUCAGUGGCGAAGGCGCCUUUCUGGACUAAUACUGACGCUGAGGAGCGAAGGCGUGGGGAGCAAACAGG
rnacentral:rRNA from 1 species